CCAAAUAUAGUGUUACACUG
rnacentral:snRNA from 1 species